rnacentral:lncRNA from 1 species
CAGCAGGAGAACAGAAAUCACUAGCCCCAUUUUUGGGGGUGUGGACAUGAAGAUGCGGUUAAAUGAUUCACACAGGGCCACGGAGAUUCAUUUGUGAGUACAGAACUCCCCACUCUGCGCCCUGUCCUCACGCUGCCUGGUCACAGCCCUGCAGCAAACCUGCCUCACAAAUGAAUCAGAACAAGCCAACAGCAAAAACAACGAAGCAACUUAGAAUGUUUUGGCUGCAAAGGUGAUGAGAGUUUUCACAGCCGUGGCUGUGAGCUGCAAACCUGCAGGUAGCACGGCAGCAAACAAACAGUGUGAGCAAUGCCCGCGGGCUUACCUGUCUUGCCAACGCUGCUGCCACCCAGCACCACCAGCUUGAUGAUUUUGUUGGGCACGCAGUCUAAUACCGGAUACUCUGGUAUGGGAAGCAAGAGAAAGUUAGUAGAAUACUGUGACAUGGUAUCCUGAGAGAUGAGACGCAUGCCAGAAAUGAGAGCUGAUCAACUCCAGUAGGAGUUGGGAGAGAAGAGAAGGAAAACAGCUUCUCUGCGUCUGUUCUUGGCUGCGUGUCCCUGGGAAGAGAAGCCUUCUCAUUGCAUUUAAGUCGCUUUCCCGAGGACUGUUAGAGCAACCGGCCUCCUCUUCCGAUGCUUCUGCUCAGACAGCGACUUUGGAAAGCAAAAGGAAACUUUUUGAUCAACCCCCGUGAAAACUGACUCCUCCGCUCGGCAGCCAAUCACAAGUGAAGCCAUGACAUUCCUCCGGCCGGGCACCAGCGUGUGCCUCCAUCCACCCACCACGCUCCCGCUCCCCGCUUUAUCUCCCCGCUGCCUGUUUGAUGUGCUUCCCCUUGGCUCCUCGCUAAAACAAGGUCCUUCUGGCUUUCAGUCGUCGCAGCAGUAUUUGCAGUGAGAAUUCCGAGAGCAGUGGGUUCACAGAGUCACAGAAUGGCUCAGGUUGGAGGGGAACUUAAAGAUCAAUCAUUCCAACCCCCACCGUGGGCUGGUUGACCCCCACUGGAUCAGACUGCCCUGGAUUAUUUCCAAGUACUAGCUCACGUUUGUAUGCUCCAGGAUACAUUUCUUCUACAUCAUUUUUAUGUGGCGAUAGUUGCAAUGGUCGAUUGGAAGGUGGAUCAGCACCAUGUUGGGGCAUUGCUGUGCCUUUAAGCAUGGAUAAGUGAAUUUGGGCUGACAACAGCUAUGGGAAGGCUGAGGAAGGACUCAGGAUCCUUCAGCGGGGUGAGCCAGACAGAGGGAGUGAAGAAAGAAUGACUUCUAUAGGAAAACCUAGUGUAGUGUUGAGACAGCUGGCAGCUGGAAGGUCUGUAGGGAUGACAGCAUGUAACUGUACACGAGCCACAAUCAACUCUCAGUUAUCAAGGAUAAUGGGGAGGGAAGAGAACGCGAAGAGAGGUGGGGAGGGAAUGAGCCAGAUAAAGAAAAAACUGCAAAUAAUAUGAAACAGAUGUAAAUUAAACUACAGAAAAGAUAGUCUGAGCAUUCAUCUCUGCAGAACUGGUCAAAAGAGGUCUGCAAAGGGCUUCAGACUGCGAUGGGAAGAGGCGAGCCUGGUGCCUGCAGCAUACAGCUGAGACGUGCGCUCUGUCACGCUGUGUGGGAAACAGAUCCUGACGGAAAGUGGCACCGCAGCUAAUCCACCCACAGGCCCCGGAGACCCGGGCGUGCGGAUUUCUCCUGCCCUCUGCAUGCUCCUGCCAGGCAGAGGGUAGGCACGGUUCCUUAUGGAGAGGCUGCAGCCACCAAAAGAGCUUUCUGUGCACAGACGCUUUCGUGCAGCUGCUUUCAAUCACAGCAUACACAGAGCUCUCCCAGCAGGUUUCAGAAGCCGGGCCAUGGCUAUGAGCAGUACGAAGGGGAAGCAGGCCAGCUUUCUCGUUUGCCACUCCUUCUCAAAGCACUGGGUGCCAGAUUUUCAAAUGAUCUUCAUUUCCAUGCCAGCCCCACAGAGGACCUAAGCAUGUCACAUGUGAACUGGGUGCAGAGCUUUAGAGAAAUCCAGCUUUGGUGCACAGCAGUCCAGCAAAAUAAGCACAGGAUAAGGAAGAUUCAUGAAUGUGUCACUUUUCCAGCGCACAGUUUCCCCUCUAAAAACUUCUUCUGAAGCAAUAUUUGUGCUGAGUUGUGUAAGCACGCAGGGUUAUUACUUUGACCAUCAUGACAGUCAGCUGAGGAGGAGUGGGGCAAAAGGUCUGGAAGGCUCUUCAGCUCAUGAUGCUGAGAGGGAGCCACCAGAUCACGUGUCUUCUGGGACAUGACUCCUAUGUGAAUAGAGUAAAUGAGCUUCCAAAUUUUUGGAAACACCCAAACACCGAAAAAUCUUCUCCAGGAUAUUUCAGUCGGGCGCCUUAAUCUUGCAGAAGUUUUGUAAGAACAGGCAAAGUGAGAGGAAAAUUUCACAGUCUCGUGGUCAAUAAGCAGGGCACUUUGAACUGUGUCCUUGAGCUGGACACAUUAUAAAUUUGGGGAUUAACUAGCAAUGGUAUGUCUCUAAGUAUGAUGCUGGAACCCUUGUUACCAUUUCUUAUUAGAAGCAUAUGCUAGUGAGUAAUAUAAAAGUAUUCAUCACUACAGCUCUCCUAUAAAAACAAAUGGCAGUAAUCUAUCAGUGUCUAGGUGGCCAGAAGGAUUUCGGUGCAGGGAAAAAGGCCAGAUAAGCUAAGGAGUACCAUGUAGAACAUUCUAUACUAGCAGAGGCAUUCUUAGAACAAUACGCAUCUGCUGACUUGCUCCGGAAGAGGAGAUACUGUUGACAGAAACAGAAGUAAAUGUCCUUUGGGGUAACCAAAUGUUGUGUCAGUGCUGAGCAACUCCAGAAGGUUCUCAAGAAGUGAGUGCACAGAAAGCUGGCAGGGAGGCUUUAGUCUAGAUAAAUGUAAAGCAAUGCAUCUAGAGAAGAAUGACACAAACUAUGCUUAAAUGAUGCUGAACUUGGAUGCGGCACUCAUAAAUAAGGAAGGAGACCCUGGAGUCCUCGCCAGCAGUUCUCUGAGAUCAACAUCUCUGCAUGCAACAGCAGCAAAAAAAGCCAACAAAACUUUCAAGGGGAAUGAAGAAGAAGACAUGGGGCAGCUUUUUGCUGCUUACAGAAAAGCUCCGAGCACCCCCAGCUCCACCCUGCAGCUCUCUGCAUCUCACCAACGCAGUGGGGUGUGAGAAGGGGCAGAGCUGGGCAGCUGGAAUGGCCGUGGGCAUGGAGCAGCUUCUGGAAAAGCUGAGUGCAGGUGCUGGUGCUGACACCCAAGAGGAACUGUGUGGGGGCAGGAAUGAAAGAAAGCCCAGUGGUGAAGGAAAUGUUGAACUGCUUCUUUUGGCAGCCGUGAUGGCUUCUAGUUGCCUACAACAAACGUGGGAGCGGUUUUAGAGCACAUUUUGGAAGCAGACCAAUCGAUCUCUAGUUCCUUUGCUCAUACAGCUCAAUCUCAUUUUCUCAUACCCUAGCCCAGGCUUCUUAUGCUUCUAACCAAAGCCCGCUGCCACUGUGUGCAGGAUAUGCAGGAAUCUUUGUCCAGAUGUAAUGGUUGUUUGUUUUUUUUUUAGAUGAUAAUAAAAAAGCAACAUAUUCUCCAAACGUUGUAAAUAUACUCCCAAGCUCCUUUUUUAAACAACAACAACGAAGGUAACGUUAUGGCUCUGAUCCUGAAGAACAAGCCAAGGAAGAUAUGUAAUACAAGCCAGAGGUUUUGAAUCUGAUCUUUAUCUGAUUUUCUGGAUUGUCAGAACUGUCUUUUCACUGAGUGAAACCAUGCAGACAAUUCACACUAUUUGAGAUUGUAUAACCCUUGGCAUGUAGGAUAAGAAUUGUUUUCGAAAGAGAUUUUAAUUGUUUGUGUACAAUGGACUUAUAUUUAGCUUAAAAAGCGCAUGUUUUUAAUUCAAAUUCUCUUGGAAAAACAAUAGCUUCAAUUAAAGGGGGAAUGUUUGCAAAACUCGGAGCAACUUUGAAAACAUUUGGAUGAUUGUGGAGGUUUCUCUAACCACUGGCUGGGUUGCUCCACGCAAAGAUAUGCGCCUUUGCAUGUUGCACAGAGAAUAUGUCGUUUCCACACCAAAAUUGUAAAGAUGUAUGGAUUGGUCUCUGUUGCUUUUGGCUAUGAUUUUUAUAAGAUUUUCUGUUUUUAAUGUUAUUGCCACUUGUACAUAUUUUCAGAGAUGAAGUAUUCUAAAAAUAAAAGUGUUUGUUGUUUACCAUAGUGCUUUUCAUACAGGGACGUCAAAUUGCUUUCAAAACUGGAUAUAAUUAUUCCUUAUACACUUGACAAAGGGAGAAACAGAUGAGCAGAGCUAGAAUGGUCUUGCUAAGACCACCACACGUGGAGAAAAAGACUCAUUCCCGCUCUGCCCAGCACUGGCAAAAGUGAUCUUUCC